CAGCGCUGGAGAGCUUGCUUGGCGACCAUGACCCCGAGGUCGGGAGAGUUACCUGCAAGACAGAGAAGAUCGUGAAGAAGGCCUUUUCCCUCCACUCCCGGCACGGGUUGCGGGCUGCUGUUCGGCGCUUGUGGGCAGGCUGUAAGAAGAAGAGACACCCGCCAGAGUACAGUGAUCUCUCCACCUGACCGACUGGCAUGUGUUGCUGCUGGGCGCCUGGAGGGAUCAGUCGAUCCGCCCCAGAAGAAGAAACAAGAUCAGCAUGCUUUCAAGAAGUGGGGGGAGGAGGGUUGGGGACUGGCUGGGACUCCCCCAAAUUUUGUUUAUCAUCCCCUUAUUCUGUCUCACCCUGGGCUUCCCUCCCUCCCCCCUCCCUCCCAGGGGCAGAAUGGGCUUUGCUGGUCGUCCUGUUGGGGGCCGAGUAGGAAUUUUUGACUUUCCAACAGAUUGGCCAAGAUGGAAAGUUUUUUUGCCUACUCCAUUCUGUCCUGUUUUGUUAUAUAAUAUUUAUAAAGUUGCCACUUUUGUUAGCA